UGCAGUCGAGCGGACAGAUGGGAGCUUGCUCCCUGAUGUUAGCGGCGGACGGGUGAGUAACACGUGGGUAACCUGCCUGUAAGACUGGGAUAACUCCGGGAAACCGGGGCUAAUACCGGAUGGUUGUUUGAACCGCAUGGUUCAAACAUAAAAGGUGGCUUCGGCUACCACUUACAGAUGGACCCGCGGCGCAUUAGCUAGUUGGUGAGGUAACGGCUCACCAAGGCAACGAUGCGUAGCCGACCUGAGAGGGUGAUCGGCCACACUGGGACUGAGACACGGCCCAGACUCCUACGGGAGGCAGCAGUAGGGAAUCUUCCGCAAUGGACGAAAGUCUGACGGAGCAACGCCGCGUGAGUGAUGAAGGUUUUCGGAUCGUAAAGCUCUGUUGUUAGGGAAGAACAAGUACCGUUCGAAUAGGGCGGUACCUUGACGGUACCUAACCAGAAAGCCACGGCUAACUACGUGCCAGCAGCCGCGGUAAUACGUAGGUGGCAAGCGUUGUCCGGAAUUAUUGGGCGUAAAGGGCUCGCAGGCGGUUUCUUAAGUCUGAUGUGAAAGCCCCCGGCUCAACCGGGGAGGGUCAUUGGAAACUGGGGAACUUGAGUGCAGAAGAGGAGAGUGGAAUUCCACGUGUAGCGGUGAAAUGCGUAGAGAUGUGGAGGAACACCAGUGGCGAAGGCGACUCUCUGGUCUGUAACUGACGCUGAGGAGCGAAAGCGUGGGGAGCGAACAGGAUUAGAUACCCUGGUAGUCCACGCCGUAAACGAUGAGUGCUAAGUGUUAAGGGGGUUUCCGCCCCUUAGUGCUGCAGCUAACGCAUUAAGCACUCCGCCUGGGGAGUACGGUCGCAAGACUGAAACUCAAAGGAAUUGACGGGGGCCCGCACAAGCGGUGGAACAUGUGGUUUAAUUCGAAGCAACGCGAAGAACCUUACCAGGUCUUGACAUCCUCUGACAUUCCUAGAAAAUAGGACGUCCCCUUCGGGGGCAAAAUGACAGGUGGU
rnacentral:rRNA from 1 species